ACUCCUACGGGAGGCAGCAGUGGGGAAUUUUGGACAAUGGGCGAAAGCCUGAUCCAGCAAUGCCGCGUGUGUGAAGAAGGCCUUCGGGUUGUAAAGCACUUUUGUCCGGAAAGAAAUCCUUGGCUCUAAUACAGUCGGGGGAUGACGGUACCGGAAGAAUAAGCACCGGCUAACUACGUGCCAGCAGCCGCGGUAAUACGUAGGGUGCGAGCGUUAAUCGGAAUUACUGGGCGUAAAGCGUGCGCAGGCGGUUUGCUAAGACCGAUGUGAAAUCCCCGGGCUCAACCUGGGAACUGCAUUGGUGACUGGCAGGCUAGAGUAUGGCAGAGGGGGGUAGAAUUCCACGUGUAGCAGUGAAAUGCGUAGAGAUGUGGAGGAAUACCGAUGGCGAAGGCAGCCCCCUGGGCCAAUACUGACGCUCAUGCACGAAAGCGUGGGGAGCAAACAGGAUUAGAUACCCCAGUAGUCCC
rnacentral:rRNA from 1 species